rnacentral:tRNA from 1 species
GGCUCCUUGGUCUAAUAGGUAUAGGACAUCGCCCUUUCAAGGCGGUAAUGGUGGGUUCGAGUCCCCCAGGAGUCA